CCAAAGGAUGGGGCCGCGACCGAUCAGGCUGUUGGCGAGGUAACGGCUCACCAAACCUAUAACCGGUACGGGCCGCGGGAGCGGGAGCCCGGAGAUGGGCACUGAGACAAGGGCCCAGGCCCUACGGGGCGCAGCAGUCGCGCAAACUCUGCAAUACGCGAAAGCGUGACAGGGCUAUCCCGAGUGCCGUCCGCUGAGGAUGGCUUUUCUCUGGUGUAAUGAGCCGGAGGAAUAAGGAGAGGGCAAGUCUGGUGUCAGCCGCCGCGGUAAUACCAGCUCUCCGAGUGGUAGGGACGAUUAUUGGGCCUGAAGCGUCCGUAGCCAGCUAAGCAAGUUUCCCGUUAAAUCCAGCGAUCUAAUCGUUGGACUGCGGGAAAUACUGCUUGGCUAGGGGGCGAGAGAGGCCAACGGUAUUUCCGGGGUAGGGGUGAAAUCUUAUAAUCCCGGGAGGACCACCAGUGGCGAAGGCUGUUGGAUAGAACGCGCUCGACGGUGAGGGACGAAAGCUGGGGGAGCGAACCGGAUUAGAUACCCGGGUAGUCCCAGCUGUAAACGAU
rnacentral:rRNA from 1 species